GGGGCUAUCCCGUUGCCGCAGGCAUAUGCGCUGGGGACGCUUGAAUGGCAUUCAAGAGGUCAAGAGUUCAAUUCUCUUCAGCUCCACCA
rnacentral:tRNA from 1 species